rnacentral:rRNA from 1 species
GAUGAACGCUGGCGGCGUGCCUAAUACAUGCAAGUCGAGCGAACAGACGAGGAGCUUGCUCCUCUGACGUUAGCGGCGGACGGGUGAGUAACACGUGGAUAACCUACCUAUAAGACUGGGAUAACUUCGGGAAACCGGAGCUAAUACCGGAUAAUAUAUUGAACCGCAUGGGUCAAUAGUGAAAGACGGUUUUGCUGUCACUUAUAGAUGGAUCCGCGCCGCAUUAGCUAGUUGGUAAGGUAACGGCUUACCAAGGCAACGAUGCGUAGCCGACCGGAGAGGGUGAUCGGCCACACUGGAACUGAGACACGGUCCAGACUCCUAAGGGAGGCAGCAGUAGGGAAUCUUCCGCAAUGGGCGAAAGCUUGGCGGAGCAACGCCGCGUGAGUGAUGAAGAUCUUCGGAUCGUAAAACUCUGUUAUUAGGGAAGAACAAAUGUGUAAGUAACUAUGCACGUCUUGACGGUACCUAAUCAGAAAGCCACGGCUAACUACGUG